rnacentral:tRNA from 1 species
GCCUCUGUGGCGGAACUGGUAGACGCGACAGACUCAAAAUCUGUUUUCCGGAAGGGAGUGGGGGUUCGAGUCCCUCCAGGGGCACCA